GUGAGAGAGGGGGUGAAGUAAGUAGACUAAGGUCAACCAGGAAAUUAGGGGCACAGCAAGGACUCCAACUUGGGCCUCAUAUUAGAUAUGCAAUCAUACAAUUAUUACUGGCUUCUCCUUAUUGCCUGCUACUGACUGCACAGGUCAAAGAAGACAAUUGAAUAAAAUUUGCUGUGGACAUCUGUCAAGAAGGAACUGGUUUCUCUUCCUGCUAAAACAGACUCAAAGAUCCAAGAUAUUGCAACUGAAGAACAGGAUCAGUGUUUCUUUCUACUUUCC
rnacentral:lncRNA from 1 species